rnacentral:rRNA from 1 species
CCUACGGGUGGCAGCAGUCGAGAAUCAUUCACAAUGGGGGAAACCCUGAUGGUGCGACGCCGCGUGGGGGAAUGAAGGUCUUCGGAUUGUAAACCCCUGUCAUGUGGGAGCAAAUUAAAAAGAUAGUACCACAAGAGGAAGAGACGGCUAACUCUGUGCCAGCAGCCGCGGUAAUACAGAGGUCUCAAGCGUUGUUAGGAAUCACUGGGCGGAAAGCGUGCGUAGGCUGUUGCGUAAGUCGUGUGUGAAAGGCGCGGGCUCAACCCGCGGACGGCACAUGAUACUGCGAGACUAGAGUAAUGUAGGGGGAACCGGAAUUCUCGGUGUAGCAGUGAAAUGCGUAGAUAUCGAGAGGAACACUCGUGGCGAAGGCGGGUUCCUGGACAUUAACUGACGCUGAGGCACGAAGGCCAGGGGAGCGAAAGGGAUUAGAUACCCGGGUAGUC